GCUUAUGCAGGGAAGGCGCAUGCGGUGGUCCUGCUCUAGAGCGAGUCUUUACGACUCUCGGCAACGGAUAUCUUGGCUCUCGCAUCGAUGAAGAACGUAGCGAAGUGCGAUACUUGGUGUGAAUUGCAGAAUCCCGUGAACCAUCGAGUCUUUGAACGCAAGUUG
rnacentral:rRNA from 1 species